UACGGGGGGGGCAAGCGUUGUUCGGAAUUACUGGGCGUAAAGCGAGUGUAGGCGGUUUGGGAAGUCGGAUGUGAAAGCCCCGGGCUCAACCCGGGAAGUGCACUCGAUACUGCCAAGCUAGAGUAUCGGAGAGGUUGGUGGAAUUCUCGGUGUAGAGGUGAAAUUCGUAGAUAUCGAGAGGAACACCGGUGGCGAAGGCGGCCAACUGGACGAAUACUGACGCUGAGACUCGAAAGCGUGGGGAGCAAACAGG
rnacentral:rRNA from 1 species